GUAGUAUUCCCUCCGUCCCAAAAUUCUUGUCUUACAUUUGUUUAGAUAUGGAUGUAUCUAACACUAAAAUGUAACUAGAUACAUCCGUAUUUAGACAAAUUUAAGACAAGAAUUUUGGGACGGAGNAUGUAACUA
rnacentral:pre_miRNA from 1 species